CUGUAGGCACCAUCAUAA
rnacentral:piRNA from 1 species